rnacentral:lncRNA from 1 species
UGGUACAAAUGCGAGUGGAUCUCUAACAAUGGCUCUUCUAUAAGGGCCAAGGCUUAUAAGAUGCUUCCUGACUGGGGCUAUGGUCGUGUCUACACAGUGGUGGUUGUGAAUUGCACCUUCCCUGUCAAUCCAAAUCAAGACAAUGCGGGUGGAAGGCUCAUGCUUAAUGCCUAUUAUGACGAGUCUCAGAGGAAGUACGAGAAAUUCACGGCAUUGGAGGAACUACCUGGCUCUUACAACGAGUCUAAAUUCCGCCCACCUUAUCAGUACGAGUAUCUUUACUGCGGGUCUUCUUUGUACGGGAAUUUGAGUGCGUCGAGGUUUAGAGAAUGGAUGGCUUACCAUGCCUG